ensembl:lncRNA
GAGAAAACAAAUAGAGAGUGCAAGUGUUAGAGAGUAAUACAUAAGCAGGCUUUGUAAUAGGCUAAAUAGGGGGUUGAAUGUUCGUAAAAAAAAAAAGCACCAAAUCUUAAACUACUUAAACUAUAAAACUUAAUCUUUUUAUACUUUUAUACUUAUUAUCACUGUAAAAGUGAUGUUUUAUCUGACUCACGUGCAGGGGUGGCGUUUUUCACCUAUGAAUGGGUCAUGGAACUACGAAAAAAACCUUAAAUUGAUUAUUUAAUAAUUUAAUUAGAUUUAAGUUAUUUAUUAACGAAAUCUUUGUUUAGCCUAUGUAAAUUCCGCGUGCUUUAAUGAGCGCGCGCUGAACAUUGGAGUAGCGUUCAUUCAGAUUCAAACACUGGAGCGGAGGGAGUUGCCAUGGAAACGGGGCGACCGACAACACUGGCAAGCUGCAAGCUCCGUUUCUUGCUGCUGUUUUCACUGCUUUCGAGUCUGCUAAGCUAUAAAGGAGGUGUUCCGGACUCACUGCUCUCCUACAGGAUGACAGCUGGUGAGGAGCCGGCCUCUCCAAUGAGGAAACCAGCAACAUGCAAGAGAACGGCGGAGCCCGAAGCAGCCCCCAAGAUCCUUUGCAUCACUCCUCGGGCCAAUCAUCUCUGUUUGAGGAUGUCCCAUUCUAACUGACAGUGUCCUCAAUGGCGGGACCCCUGAGGGGGGAGAGGGAGGUACAAGGAGGUGAAAGGACGUGCCAAGGUCAAAUGUCCUAGGGGUCAAAGUUACUGGAUAAUUCAGUGGGAACAUGAAUGGCGUUGACAGGUGUUUACUGAUUAUAAAAAAGCCAGUUAACUGAUGUGUAAAAGGUUUUUUAUACUGUUGAAUUUUGUCUCGCCUCUUUUCUUUCUGUUCUAGCAGCUCCACAAGCACAGCCUAAAACAGCCCUAAAAAAAGCAUCUAUUCUGAGGCAUUUGCCUCGACGUUAGUCAGACUAUUGACGCUUUCCUGUUUGAUGUCUCUCCCAGCAGUAACAUCAAACAAUCAACAAGCAAAACCUCUCUCAGCGAUGACCGAGCAUAAGAAGUAUUUGUUUCAUUUUUCCGAGGCACUGAAGUGCUAAACGUGUUUAAAGAAACCACCACAAUGUGGCUUCCCAGG